rnacentral:rRNA from 1 species
CCUACGGGCGGCUGCAGUCGAGAAUCAUUCACAAUGGGGGAAACCCUGAUGGUGCGACGCCGCGUGGGGGAAUGAAGGUCUUCGGAUUGUAAACCCCUGUCAUGUGGGAGCAAAUUAAAAAGAUAGUACCACAAGAGGAAGAGACGGCUAACUCUGUGCCAGCAGCCGCGGUAAUACAGAGGUCUCAAGCGUUGUUCGGAAUCACUGGGCGUAAAGCGUGCGUAGGCUGUUUCGUAAGUCGUGUGUGAAAGGCGCGGGCUCAACCCGCGGACGGCACAUGAUACUGCGAGACUAGAGUAAUGGAGGGGGAACCGGAAUUCUCGGUGUAGCAGUGAAAUGCGUAGAUAUCGAGAGGAACACUCGUGGCGAAGGCGGGUUACUGGACAUUAACUGACGCUGAGGCACGAAGGCCAGGGGAGCGAAAGGGAUUAGAUACCCCUGUAGUC